GAGUAAGGAGGGUGGGGCUUUCAAUACUCUCCAGGUUUCAAUCCCUAUCUGCUACGAUUCCCUUUUUCCUCUCUGUGUAAUUUCUCAGCAGAGCCUGCAAUGAACGUCUUCAAAGAACCUUCGGUGUUUUUGGAUUCAAGGGAAACCUGAUUAGCUCUGUAGGCUUAAGACUCUGCAAAGAUAUUGACAAGGAUUCCGUAAAGGAAUCAUUUGAAAUAAAUGAAGAAAUGGAGAGCAGAAAGUUUGUACUCUAAAAUGAACUGUGUGGCAGGGUUGUAGGGAAACACUUUCAAAUCGUGUUAGCGAGAAUGUGAAUUCCUACAGCUUUUGGAAAGUAAUACCACCUCAGGGACCGACACACAGAAACAAAGCUUCUGUGUGCUAGCAUGUUCAAACACAUGUGCAGAGCAUGUGUUAGCAUGUUCAAACACAUGUGCCGAGCAUGAUCUCAGAAGAGCUACUGUUGCAGAAGAAACCUUGAAACAGUAUGGACUCGGAAAUAAGUGACAGAAUAUUAAACAUUCAUGCUGCAAUUGAGGGUUUUUUUUUUUUAACUUGUAGAGAAUGUCUAUGAUGCCUUGUUAUAUUAAAAAAAAAAAUUGUAGCUUGGAGCUGUUUAAGGUCCUGGGUUUAAUUCUUAGUGCUGUGAAAAAAAAUAUAUAUAUAUAUACACGAGUAUGUGGAAGUCCAUUCUUAUUACUAGAAACUAUUUGUGGAAAUGUGGUUAUUGAUAGUUAUGUAAGCAAAGAGAAAGCAUGAGCCAGCAUGACUCAUAUUGAUUAUCUUAGGAGUAAGAACUUGAGAGACAGAGAAAGGAGAAAAAAUAUCAACAUUUUUAUACAUAUUUCUUUUUGUCUUUUUUAAAUAUAUGUAUAUAUGAAGCACAUAGGUGUGUCUGUGUGCACACGUGUGUAUUCAGGUGUGUCUGUGUGCACAUGUGUGUAUUCAGGUGUGCAGGCUUGGAGGCAUGGAGACACCAGAGGAAGACAUCAGGCGCCACCCUCUAGUAUCAGUUUUAUUUGGGAGAGGGUUUCUCAUUGGGCCUGAAGCUCCUGUUGAUAUGCUGGUUGGCCAGUGAGCUUCUGGGAUCUACCUGUCUUCACCGGGCAGGCCUAGGGUCACAAGCAUGAAAGGAUGUAUUUGGCUUUUACGGGGGAGAUCCAAAUGUGCUCCACUGAGCCAUGUCUUCGCCUAGCAGGGACAUACUCAUUUGUGAUCUGAACAAAUUGAAACUAUAAUUUUCAAAAAGUUGACAGAGCCACAAGUUCGGCUAAGACGGUAUAGCACAAAUGCUGAACGCCUGGCUAUUAGAGAAUAAGACUGCUCCCAAGCUCCAAGGGAAAACUAUGAACAUUGUUUUAUCAUAGCAAAUGGUGAGGAUUGAUUAAAGACACACAUAGGGCUGGAGAGAUGGCGCAGCGGUUAAGAGCACUGACUACUCUUUCAGAGAUCCUGAGUUCAAAUCCCAGCAACCACAUGGUGGCUUACAACCAUCCGUAAUGGGAUCUGAUGCCCUCUUCUGGUAUGCAUGAAGACAGAGCACUCAUAUACACAACAUAAGUAAAUAAAUAUUUAGAAAAAGAAAAAAAAGAAAAAUUAUUUCCACGCACAAAGGAAUGUUAUAGUUAAAAUAAGGCCAUAAUAUUAUACUCAGAGUUCUUUAAUCAUGAGAAAAACGUUUUUUUGUUUGUUUGGUUUGUUUUGGUUGGUUUGUUUUGGUUUGUUUUUUCUGAUUCUAGCUCCUCUUCAAAAACAGAUUAAAGGGAACAGGGAAUUAUAUUGUCUAGAAAUGACCUUCAAGCUCUCAACCCUACACUAACAGAAACUCUAUAACCCUCAUAUACAACCUAAUUUUUUGAUUUGUCUCAGAAAAAAAUGUGAAAUUUUGAAAGUAAGGAGUGUUAACACUAGGAGAAAGAACAACGUGUGAUUUUACUAUAAAACACCAGUAUUCUUUAAAACUUCCAUUCUGAGUUUCCUCUUUAGUAAUGUGUGAUCAGAUUACAGCUGUAAUGGACACACACAGGCCCCGACUAAACUAAACCACCUUACUAAUACAAAGUCUUUUAAACGGUUUUAACUAUUUUGCCUUUUCUAGGUUCUCAAAAAUAUAAUGAGGAAUUUUUGGCCCAUCUGAAAACUUGUCUUAAUGUUCCUCCCCUUGCUGUCUGAGAUGCAGGGUCGGGAACUGGUUUAUUAUUUCUUUCUUUUCCAUUACUGUAGUCCUUCCUGGAAGCCACACCCCCUGCCUAACUAAUGGCAUACACAUACGAGGGGGUGUGGGUUGCUGAUGGGAUGUGGCCUGUUUAAGAGCCGGCUGCUUCCUUUCUCCCUACCCCAGCCUGAUCUGACUGUCUCCAUUAUUUAACUACCCAUCUCCACAACACACGACUAUUGUGGUCAAGACACUGCUCUCUCUGUUUACAUUCCCAGAGAGUAAAUAGCUAGGAUACAUGUUUUCUCAAGGUUCUGUGGGAUGCAAAUCUACUGUGCUGGGGGAGGGGAGACCCAAGGUUUCCUGGGCUUAUUUGAUGGCUAACGUAACACUUCAACACCAGUCAGUCCUUUUCUUUGACCUUUGCAGGUCUGUCUAACUUUCUUGCUCAACAUACUCAAUUUCUUGUACAUACCAAUGAGAAAAUGUUUGUGAUGCUUAAGAAAUGAGCUGAGGUCAUCGGAAUCAGAAAUACAAGUGGCCAACACUCCCCCCCCACCAAAAAAAAAGUCCAACCAGCAGCCCAUUGGUCUGUGCAGGGAACAGUAAACGAUUACAUGCAUUCUGCCACAGAGACAACUAACAGCUCUGCUGUUCCAAACAAGGUUGUCUACAGUGAUGGUAAACAUCCAGGACAAGUCCUUCUGAGCUAACUCUACCCAGCGGAGAGCAUGACAGCAUCUUCCAGUAAAGACCCUCGAUGCUCAAAGAGCCAUGAGCUUGAUUCCAGCUGCAGCCUAAUUGGCGUGUGUGGGGCUGGUGGCCUGGCUACGUGGGUUGCUGGAAGGCAGCUCAGUGGGGCCUCCGUACGGAAAUCAUCAGAAAUCUAGUAGACUCCAUUGGAGGACAGGCCCCAGGAUGGCCAGAGCUCUGGGACCUAGAUUCCCAGGUUCUUAGAAAUGAACAGGUUGCAGCAAGAAAUAAAAAUGUCCUGUGUACUUUAGAAUAAAAGUAUAAAAGGAAUAAAAGAAUAUUUGGCAUCACCGUGGAAAGUGCUCAACUUUAAAACUACAGCUAUAGUUAGGAACACAUUCAGUUAUCCAAGACUGUGAGAAAAAACGGAGUAUCAUGAACAUUCAUGAAACCUGGCUCAUGGCGGCCAAAGCAC